rnacentral:rRNA from 1 species
CGCCCAACAGCUAGCCCACCUAAACAAUUUCAACUUACCCCUGUUAAUAACCCCUAAAUACCCCAGUAUUUAAAUUAAACAAACCAUUUUUCCCCCUUAGUAUAGGCGAUAGAAAAGGGAUUCUGGCGCAAUAGAAAAAGUACCGCAAGGGAAUGCUGAAAGAGAAAUGAAACAACCCAGCAAAGCUUUAAAAAGCAGAGAUUUAACCUCGUACCUUUUGCAUCAUGAUUUAGCAAGUGUACCCCAAGCAAAGAGCACUUUAGUUUGACGUCCCGAAACUACGUGAGCUACUCCAAGAUAGCCUAUUAAUAGGGCACACCCGUCUCUGUGGCAAAAGAGUGGGAGAAACUUUGAGUAGAGGUGACAAACCUACCGAACCUAGUUAUAGCUGGUUGUCCAAGAAAUGAAUAGAAGUUCAGCCUCUUGGCUCCUCUUUUCACCUUAGUUUGACCCCUAUAGAUGCACCUGAGGAACCGAAAGAGUUAGUCAAAGGGGGUACAGCCCCUUUGAAUCAAGACACAACUUUACCAGGAGGGUAAAGAUCAUA